UUUGCAAUAUGGUGCCUAUGGAAACAUAGGAGAAUUGGGAAUAUCGGUGUAAAUCCGAAGCAACAGCCAUUACUGUGAUUGACGAAGAAAGGGACAAUAUGCCAUUGGGGUGUGUUACUCUGAGAAGGCGUCCUUUUUCGGCAAAGCCGUAAGUCAUAAGUCAGGAAACCAGCCAUAUUCAU
rnacentral:ncRNA from 1 species